UACGAGGGGUGCAAACGUUAUUCGGAUUUAUUGGGUGUAAAGGGUGUGUAGACGGUUUAUUAAGUUCGUUGUUAAAUCUUUCGGCUCAACCGGAAGCUUGCGGUGAAAACUGAUAGACUAGAGGAUGAAAGAGAGGAGUGGAAUUCUCGGAGUAGCGGUAAAAUGCGUAGAUCUCGAGAGGAACACCGAUGGCGAAAGCGGCUCCUUGGUUCAUUCCUGACGUUGAAACACGAAAGCGUGGGGAGCAAACAGG
rnacentral:rRNA from 1 species